rnacentral:rRNA from 1 species
GAUGAACGCUGGCGGCGUGCCUAAUACAUGCAAGUCGAGCGAACAGACUAGGAGCUUGCUCCUCUGACGUUAGCGGCGGACGGGUGAGUAACACGUGGAUAACCUACCUAUAAGACUGGGAUAACUUCGGGAAACCGGAGCUAAUACCGGAUAAUAUAUUGAACCGCAUGGUUCAAUAGUGAAAGACGGUUUUGCUGUCACUUAUAGAUGGAUCCGCGCCGCAUUAGCUAGUUGGUAAGGUAACGGCUUACCAAGGCAACGAUGCGUAGCCGACCUGAGAGGGUGAUCAGCCACACUGUAACUUCGACACGGUCCAGACUCCUACGGGAGGCAGCCGCAGGGAAUCUUCCGCAAUGGGCGAAAGCCUGACGGAGCAACGCCGCGUUAGUGAUGAAGGUCUUCGGAUCGUAAAACUCUGUUAUUAGGGAAGAACAAAUGUGUAAGUAACUAUGCACGUCUUGACGGUACCUAAUCAGAAAGCCACGGCUAACUCCCUG